rnacentral:rRNA from 1 species
UACGUAGGGGGCAAGCGUUGUUCGGAAUUACUGGGCGUAAAGGGCGCGUAGGCGGCACAGCAAGUCGGGAGUGAAAGCCCGGGGCUCAACCCCGGAAUGGCUUUCGAAACUGCUGAGCUAGAGUACAGAAGGGGGCAACCGGAAUUCCCAGUGUAGCGGUGAAAUGCGUAGAUAUUGGGAAGAACACCUGAGGCGAAGGCGGGUUGCUGGGCUGAUACUGACGCUGAGGCGCGAAAGCCAGGGGAGCAAACGGG